GAUUUUAUUUAUACCACAAUUAUGUUCACAUUGUAGUUGAAGUGGGUGAAAUUAUAUGUUCAAGGCAUUGUAUGUUGCAUUUCUACAAAACUGAUGUGGUGUACAGUUCUUGUUUGCAUCAUUAUAUUUUCACCUUUCAUGUGUUUAGCAGAUCUGAAGA